GGGAGUGUAGCUGAGCAGUAGAGUGCUUGCCUAGCAGGCACAAGGUCCUGAGUUCAAACUUCAGCAUUGCCA
rnacentral:tRNA from 1 species